AUUGAACGCUGGCGGCAGGCUUAACACAUGCAAGUCGAGCGGGGUGAUGGUGCUUGCACUAUCACUUAGCGGCGGACGGGUGAGUAAUGCUUAGGAAUCUGCCUAUUAGUGGGGGACAACAUCUCGAAAGGGAUGCUAAUACCGCAUACGUCCUACGGGAGAAAGCAGGGGAUCACUUGUGACCUUGCGCUAAUAGAUGAGCCUAAGUCGGAUUAGCUAGUUGGUGGGGUAAAGGCCUACCAAGGCGACGAGCUGUAGCGGGUCUGGGAGGAUGAUCUGCCACACUGGGACUGAGACACGGCCCAGGCUCCUACGGGAGGCAGCAGUGGGGAAUAUUGGACAAUGGGGGGAACCCUGAUCCAGCCAUGCCGCGUGUGUGAAGAAGGCCUUAUGGUUGUAAAGCACUUUAAGCGAGGAGGAGGCUCUUUUGGUUAAUACCCAAGAUGAGUGGACGUUACUCGCAGAAUAAGCACCGGCUAACUCUGUGCCAGCAGCCGCAGUAA
rnacentral:rRNA from 1 species